AAAAAGAAGAAAAACAAGCAUGCAGUCUCGGAGCCUCUCAAACUGCUAAGCAGUAGUGGGCAGUUUUCUCCCCCAAAGAUUUCCACGAUCUGAGUUUGGUGGGAAGGUUCAACACUAACCACCUGCAUACCACCAGUAUUUAGAGAUGAGUAAUCGGAAGGAGGCUAAUUUUGGUUUUCAGGAGUUCGCUGUGUGGUUUCAGUUCAUUCCAAACGAAAAAGGAUCGACAAACUCAGUGACAGAAAUUAGUAAAAGAUUUGAGCUUUCGGAACAAUUAUAUGUGCAAAAAUCGAAAACUUUCAUCGGUUUAGGCUCAACUCCAUGAUUCCACAUUUCAAAUCCACUUCUGACCUGCUAACCUUGAUGGAGGGGAGGGGCAGAGGAUGAAGAAAAUUCCGGGCAAAGAGCUUUGACUCCCUGAUUCACUGCGGCAACAACAUACCACCAUCCUCCUUUCGUUCCCAUGUCACCAGAAGCAACAAGAAGAUAUAAAACAAAAUUGGUGUUUUGAAAUUCUGAUUAAUUUUGCUCAAACUGAUUGGUUGCUGACCCAUUAAGGUACCUUAAUAAUUCGCCCCUGUUCUUUGAACAGCCUGUCAUUUUUCUUCAUGGGGUUCUUGAGGAGCAACUUCACCAAGUUUUCAAAGUAAUCAAAGAUUCUUCAAUCCCGAGUUGUACCGAUCAUUCUGUUUGAUCAGGUUGCAGUAUGUUCACCCUUUAUGAUAAGUUAUUAUAUAAAGCUCAAUUUGUUUAUGUUUUGGUAAUUUUGUAGUAGAAAUGCCAGAAAUCGAUAAUGUACUUAGUUCCGUUUCCGGGAAUUAGUUUCGAUAGUUUGAAUGUGUAAGUCGAGUGAAUUAAGGUUGUUGUAAUCUAUUUGUGAGUUUAAGUGAUUCCCCUCAUUUGGUUUUCAUUUCAGUUCGGCUUUAUAGUAAAUGCAAUUCCAGUUCCUAAAGCUCAAAGAGAAGGUCGACAAAGGUACGUUUACAGCUAUAUGUCGUGUUCCUUUUGAGGUUUAUGCGAUUUAUAGUGAUGUAAAUAAAGUUGUUGCGAAGAAGACCUCCCUUACUCUCUGAAACCGUAAACGGAACGAAACGUCAUUACGAUUCUCAUACGACUGGGAUCAUGAAUAUUAUAGAUGGACCCAAUGGAUCUUCCUUCAGCGAUUAAAGAGGGGAUUGGCGUAUCAGGCUGAAGUGCCAGUUAAUUGGUGCCCGCUUUUGGUACUGUAUUGGCAAAUGAAGAAGUGAUAAGAUGGUUUCAGUGACAGUGGGGAUCAGAAAGGUAUUGGAUUGAUUUUGGCAAGUGUAAUUUUUUGUUAACAUUGAUUAGAUUCGGACCUUUGUGUCAAUUGAAGUCAUUGCUGCUCGGUUAGCUGAGACCCAUUUGUCGAGGCACGAACAAAAAGGAAGGGGGGAAACUGUAUUAUUGCCAUAGCUUUUAUGUUGGCAGUGAGCCUUGAAGAAAAGGAAGGGUGAUAACAGUGGAAGAGGUGGCUUUUUGCUUUUGGCCUUUUGUUUUCUUCAUUUUGCUGAAUGUUGAGACUUGAGAAAAGAACUUCUAAUGUUGAAACCUAAUUCAAUGUGAAAACGUACCUAAUCAUGUUAGCAUAUAAAUUUGAUUGUUAUUUUGUUCAAUUUACACCUUUACGUUUC